GCUGGGCAUGGUCGCACAUGCCUGUAAUCCUAGCAGCUGGGAGGCUGAAGCAGGAGGAUUGUGAGUUUAAAGCCAGACUAAGCAAUUUAGGCCUAAGCAAUUUAGUGAGACCCUGUUUCUA
rnacentral:sRNA from 1 species